UACGUAGGUGACCAGCGUUGUCCGGAUUUACUGGGCGUAAAGAGCGCGCAGGCGGUCGUUCAAGUCGAGUGUGAAAGCCCCCGGCUCAACUGGGGAGGGUCAUUCGAUACUGAUCGACUUGAAGGCAGGAGAGGGAAGCGGAAUUCCCGGUGUAGUGGUGAAAUGCGUAGAGAUCAGCAGGAAUACCCGUGGCGAAGGCGGCCCCCUGGGCCGAACCUGACGCUGAGGCGCGAAAGCGUGGGGAGCAAACAGG
rnacentral:rRNA from 1 species